rnacentral:rRNA from 1 species
CACGUAGGGCGCAAGCGUUGUCCGGAAUUAUUGGGCGUAAAGAGCUCGUAGGCGGUUGGGUAAGUCGGGUGUGAAAACUCCAGGCUCAACUUGGAGACGCCACCCGAUACUGCUCUGACUUGAGUUCGGUAGGGGAGUGGGGAAUUCCUGGUGUAGCGGUGAAAUGCGCAGAUAUCAGGAGGAACACCGGUGGCGAAGGCGCCACUCUGGGCCGAAACUGACGCUGAGGAGCGAAAGCGUGGGUAGCAAACAGG